CGUGACCCUCCCCACUUCAUCUAAUUACCUCCACCAUCCGUCUCCAGUAGGACCGGCCCUGUGGGCUUUCCUGAUUUGGGAUAAUGGACGAUGCGAUCAAUACAUGUGCUGAUACCACACAGGGCUCAGCUACAUACAUGUGUAUGUGUACAGUAUGUGUACAUAAGUGGAAUAAAGGUCUCUGCAGAGAGUG